ensembl:lncRNA
CACCCGAGGCAUAUGGAGGUUCCCAGGCUUGGGGUCUAAUCUGAGCAGAGUCUGAGACCUACAACACAGCUCACAGCAAUGUCGGAUCCUUAACCCUCUGAGCAAGGCAAGGGAUUGAACCCGCAACCUCAUGCUUCCUAGGCAGAUUCCUUAACCGCUGAGCCAUGACGGGAACUCCCAAGCGUUCCAUAUUUUUUGAACGUUUCCACAGAAAAGAAAAUCAUAGACUUGGAGAAUAGACUUAUGGCUGCCCGGGGGGAGAUGGAGGGAGGGAUAGGGAACCUGGGGUUAACGGAUCAAACUAUUACUCUUGGAAUGGAUUUACAGUAAGAUUCUGCUGUGUAGCAUUGAGAACUAUGUCCAGAUACUUACAUUGCAACACAAUAAUGGAAGGAAAAAGUAUGUAUACAUGUAUGCGUAACUUGGUCCCCAAGCUGUACAUUAACAUGGGCUGCCAUAACAAAGUAUUACAGAUGGGGAGUAACAAUAGCAAUUUAUUUCUCAUGCUUCUAGAUACUGGGAAGUCCAAGAUCAAGAUGCUGGCUGAUUUGGUUCCUAGUAAGAGCUCUUUUCCUGGCCUGUGGCUAGCUGCCUUACACUAUGUCCUCAAGUGAUGGCAAGAGCAAGCUCUAUCUCUUCAUUUUCUUAUAAGGACAUGGCACUAACAGAUUAGGGCCCCACCCUUAUGAUCUUAUUUAACCAUUAUCACCUCCUCACAGGCUUUAUCUGCAAAUAGUCACAUUGGGGUUGGAACUUCAACAUAAACAUUCAAUCCAUAACAGGAAGCUAUAUAAAGGAAGGCGAGCACUGUUGAAAGACACUCCUCCAUGAGUGUCCAUAUACUCCUAAGCAUUCUGCUGGGAAUGCUAAGGAUGAGGGCACUGCAAGGUGCAGUGCUAGGCCAGUGAAGUGAGGGAUUCACUCCAGCUCUGCCUUAUUUCCCUUAGAAGGACCAAGCACAUUAGUGGCAGGCGAGGAAAGGGCAGAAUUUCCUUCCUUUUUAAGACUGAAAAAUAUUCCAUUGUAUCUAUAUACCACAUUUUGCUUAAUCAUUAUCCACUGAUGAACAUUUGAGAGGCUUCCAUGUUUUAGCUACUGCAAAUAAUGCUGGUAUAAACAAUGGGAAACUACUUCUCUCUGUAUAAUCAUGUAUAUUGACCAACUCAGUUAAGAGCAGGGAAGUUUGUGUAAAUUUAGCCAGAAGUGUUUAGGAAAAUGCUUAGAAAAAUCUUUCUCUUCCGUUGUCCCAGAGCUGAGAAAUGUUUGUCCUUGGAGUGUGUAUUUGGUCCAGUAACUUACCAGACAACUAUAGGAGAAAUGAAGAUUUACAUUUCACUUCUCACUAGUUUAGACAUAUCAAAUGGGAAAGUUUUGCUCAACUGCCUUGUACUAAGAAACUCAGACUUAUGGAAAUGUUUUGUGGAACUGUGUCCUGUGAAUUGCCUCACUGUGGCUGGGGUGGAGUUUGGGUGUGAGUUGAGCUGUGAUUCCUAGGGUAAAAUUAAUCUCUGUGGGUAGGAGUUAGAGUUUUCCUAAAUGGAGGCUGUUUUUUUACAGUAGGGAUUAAAGAAAGCUCCUUUACAGAGAAACAGAGAAGUAAAUUUAAACAGGACAACUAGAUACUGCUGUGUCCAUGAAGAGAACUCCCAAUCCCCAUGAAAUGUUCAUUGAUUUAUUCUUUUCCUUUGACUUUAGAAAUAGUCAUAUUUAGCAUUUGGUUUUAAUUUUUCUCAUGGGUAUUAAAGUUUAUUUUGUUAUCAAUAAUCCUUCAGUAAAGUUGUAAAGGUAAAGUCAUAUGUCGGUAGUGUGUGGGAUUUUAAGGGAAUUUAAAUUUUAAGGGAAACAUCCUUUAUGUCAGAGAGCACAAUCUUAUGAAGGAAUUAUGGGAAAGUGAGGAGAGGCUCAAGGCUGAGCAGAGAGGGCAAGAGCUGUUUGGAAAAAUGGUGCAAUCUAUACUAAUUCAGGGGUCAUCUUAAUACAAUCCUCCUCCCCCUCCAAAAUACAUAAACAGAAGAUUACGGAAAGGGAAAAAAAGUUUUAAGAAAUUAUCCUAGAUUAUUUUCAUUCAAGCAUCUUAUAUUUUAAAUAAACAUUAAAAAUAUUUAAAGAAAGAAACUUUGAUCACAGACAUUUCAUUUACCACUCAGCAUUUCUGUACAUUCUUUGGUUACAAUAAGGAAUCAAGUUUAAUUUCAACAAUAUCAAGAGAGUGGUCUGAUGACAAGUUUGGGCAGCACAGGAAAAAGCUGAAUUACCACACUCAACUAAUAACAUAAUAGGGGUGAAUCCAUGGUAAACCAAAAAUCUCCCUUUUCAUUUUGUUGUGCUUCUGAAACAUCACCUUGGAAAACUCAUAUUAAAAUAACAAUAACUGUGGUUACAUAAUGGAACUACCUUCAAGUUUUAAUGAAUAAUAGAUUUUUCUUUAAAAUGAUCUCACAAGGAAGUAGUACUGGUGGUAUGGAACUGGUUCCACAGAGAACAAAAAUUGAAAAUCUCACACAUAUUGUAUCCUAGGUCAGCAGUUUUCAAACUUUUUGGUCUCAGUACUCUUUUCACAAUCUUAAAAAUUAUUAAGAACUCUAAAGAACUUUAGAAAAUAUGGGUUAUAUCUAUAAAAAUUUAUGGUACUACAAUUAGAGAAAUGAAAAUGUUAAUUUAUUAGAAAUAACAAUACCAUGUUAACAUAAUGCAUUUUUAUGAACACAGGUAUAUUUUCAAAAACAAAAAGGUGGCAGUGUUUUAGAUUUUUGCCAAUCUCAUUAAUGCCUGGCUUAAUAGAAGGGAGCUAAAUUUUCACAUGUGCUUCAUUAUUCAAUCUAUUGUGUAAUCUAUCUAUAUUGCUUUGAUUGAAGUACAUUAAGAUAA